UACGUAGGUGACCAGCGUUGUCCGGAUUUACUGGGCGUAAAGAGCGCGCAGGCGGUCGUUCAAGUCGAGUGUGAAAGCCCCCGGCUCAACUGGGGAGGGUCACUCGAUACUGAUCGGCUUGAAGGCAGGAGAGGGAAGCGGAAUUCCCGGUGUAGUGGUGAAAUGCGUAGAUAUCGGGAGGAACACCAGUGGCGAAGGCGGCUUCCUGGCCUGUUCUUGACGCUGAGGCGCGAAAGCUAGGGGAGCAAACGGG
rnacentral:rRNA from 1 species